rnacentral:rRNA from 1 species
GCAUGCGGAUUAAUUUGAUGCAACGCGAAGAACCUUACCAAGGCUUGACAUACACCGGAAACGGCCAGAGAUGGUUGCCCCCUUGUGGUCGGUGUACAGGUGGUGCAUGGUUGUCGUCAGCUCGUAAAAAGAGAUGUUGGGUUAAGUCCCGCAACGAGCGCAACCCUCGUUCUAUGUUGCCAGCGCGUUAUGGCGGGGACUUAUAGGAGACUGCCGGGGCAACUCGGAGGAAGGUGGGGAUGACGUCAAAUCAUCAUGCCCCUUAUGUCUUGGGCUUCACGCAUGCUACAAUGGCCGGUACAAAGGGCUGCGAUACCGUAAGGUGGAGCGAAUCCCAAAAAGCCGGUCUCAGUUCGGAUUGAGGUCUGCAACUCGACCUCAUGAAGUCGGAGUCGCUAGUAAUCGCAGAUCAGCAACGCUGCGGUGAAUACGUUCCCGGGCCUUGUACACACCGCCCGUCAUGUCAUGAAAGUCGGUAACACCCGAAGCCGGUGGCCUAACCUUUUGUGGGAA